rnacentral:rRNA from 1 species
UACGGGGGGGCAAGCGUUGUUCGGAAUUACUGGGCGUAAAGGGCUCGUAGGCGGCCAACUAAGUCGGACGUGAAAUCCCUCGGCUUAACCGAGGAACUGCCCUCCAAACUGCUUGGCUUGAGACCGGGAGAGGUGAGUGGAAUUCCCAGUGUAGCGGUGAAAUGCGUAGAUAUUGGGAGGAACACCAGUGGCGAAGGCGGCUCACUGGACCGGUACUGACGCUGAGGCGCGAAAGCGUGGGGAGCAAACGGG